rnacentral:lncRNA from 1 species
AAACUUUUUGUAAUUAAAACCAUUAAGAAUCUCACUUGCAAUUACAAAUGAAACCUACUUUGAAGACUAGGCCUUUCUUUUGACAUAAUCUCAUGGGUGCUUGAUAUAUGUUGAUCUCAUUAAUUUUUGUUAUAUACGGAGGCCAGUAUUAUAUUGGAAGAGGUUGGCUGGUGAUUGGUUGCGAUUGGGGGAUGGGCAUAUUUCAACUUUACUGCAUCAUUCGUUUCAAUUACAAAUGAAACCUACUUUUAAGACUAGGCCCUUGUUAUGAUUAAUGAGUGAUUUAUUGAUUUAUUUAUUUAUUUUUUGCUAGAAAACAGGAAAAUAUCUUAUGUGUUUGAUUUUGAUGUUUAUUUAUUUCAAGUUGUUCAUACAGUUGCUGAAUCAUUUUGGCAGGGGUCGUAAGUGGAAUCCUCUUCGACAAAGGCUAGAUAGCUAUGAGUACACCCUCAAGCAACAUAUUGUCGGAUCUCUUAUUUUUACGCCGCUGCUUCUUCUGUUACCAACUUCUGUUUUCUAUAUUUUCUUCACUAUGAUGAACUCAAGCAUCAGCCUUGUUUGCA